rnacentral:lncRNA from 1 species
AGCGAGUCCCAAGAAAAGCCACCAGAAUCACCUAAGCUCAGAGGAAAAAAAAACAAAAAACGAAAAAAUAAAUAAAUAAAUAAAUAAAAUAUAACAGAAAAAUCUUGGACUUGGACCUCUCUCAUUUGAGCCCACAAAGCCAAGAAAAUCAGGUUAUAAAUUCUAAAAAAAAUUCAGUGGAAAAACCCUAGAGAGAUUCUAACUAAUUCAGAGCAACCUCCAGAGACUGAAGGGAACUCAUCUGCAAAUAACCAAUUCCCUCUCAUAUAAACCCUAAGAUUGUUCUGCAAAGCCAACGGUGCAAUUCAAUUUCAAUCGAUC